rnacentral:rRNA from 1 species
GACGAACGCUGGCGGCGUGCUUAACACAUGCAAGUCGAACGGGAUUCAUGCUCAACACCGAGCAAGCGGGGCAGCAAGCGGAAGCGUCAAGCGCGAAGCGCUUUACGCGAAAAAAGCUUGCUAACACAAAGCAAAGGUUGUUGGAAACCAGGCUAAACCAAGCAAACGAAGCAGCAAGCGGAAGCGUCAAGCGCGAAGCGCUUUACGCGAAAAAGCUUGCUGACACAAAGCAAAGGUUGUUGGAAACAGUCAACACAGAGCGCAUCCGAUUGUUGGGUGUUGAGCAUGAUGAGAGUGGCGGACGGGCGAGUAACGCGUGAGCAACCUGCCCCAUGCAGGGGGAUAACACUCGGAAACGGGUGCUAAUACCGCAUAAAUUCACUGAAGCGCAUGUUUGGUGAACAAGCUGAGGCGGCAUGGGAUGGGCUCGCGUCCAAUUAGCUAGUUGGUAGGGUAACGGCCUACCAAGGCGACGAUUGGUACG